rnacentral:rRNA from 1 species
GGUUAAGUGAAUAAGGGCGCACGGUGGAUGCCUUGGCACUAGGAGCCGAUGAAGGACGGGACUAACACCGAUAUGCUUUGGGGAGCUGUAAGUAAGCUAUGAUCCAGAGAUUUCCGAAUGGGGGAACCCAAUAUCUUUUAUAGGAUAUUACUUUUCAGUGAAUACAUAGCUGAUUAGAGGUAGACGCAGAGAACUGAAACAUCUUAGUACCUGCAGGAAGAGAAAGAAAAUUCGAUUCCCUGAGUAGCGGCGAGCGAAACGGGAAGAGCCCAAACCAACAAGCUUGCUUGUUGGGGUUGUAGGACUCCAAUAUGGUAGUCUGUUAGUAUAGUUGAAGGAUUUGGAAAAUUCCGCUAAAGAGGGUGAAAGCCCCGUAGACGAAAUGCUGACAACACCUAGGAGGAUCCUGAGUACGGCGGAACACGAGAAAUUCCGUCGGAAUCCGCGGGGACCAUCCCGCAAGGCUAAAUACUCCCUAGUGACCGAUAGUGAACCAGUACCGUGAGGGAAAGGUGAAAAGCACCCCGGAAGGGGAGUGAAAUAGAUCCUGAAACCGUGUGCCUACAACAAGUCAAAGCUCGUUAAUGAGUGAUGGCGUGCCUUUUGUAGAAUGAACCGGCGAGUUACGAUUGCAUGCGAGGUUAAGUCGAAGAGACGGAGCCGCAGCGAAAGCGAGUCUGAAUAGGGCGAAUGAGUAUGUAGUCGUAGACCCGAAACCAUGUGAUCUACCCAUGUCCAGGUUGAAGGUGCGGUAAAACGCACUGGAGGACCGAACCCACGUACGUUGAAAAGUGCGGGGAUGAGGUGUGGGUAGCGGAGAAAUUCCAAACGAACUUGGAGAUAGCUGGUUCUCUCCGAAAUAGCUUUAGGGCUAGCCUCGGAAUUGAGAAUGAUGGAGGUAGAGCACUGUUUGGACUAGGGGCCCAUCUCGGGUUACCGAAUUCAGAUAAACUCCGAAUGCCAUUCAUUUAUAUCCGGGAGUCAGACUGCGAGUGAUAAGAUCCGUAGUCGAAAGGGAAACAGCCCAGACCACCAGCUAAGGUCCCAAAAUAUAUGUUAAGUGGAAAAGGAUGUGGGGUUGCACAGACAACUAGGAUGUUGGCUUAGAAGCAGCCACCAUUUAAAGAGUGCGUAAUAGCUCACUAGUCGAGUGACCCUGCGCCGAAAAUGUACCGGGGCUAAACAUAUUACCG